rnacentral:lncRNA from 1 species
AAGCUCCACCCACAAAUCUAAUUAGCCACACCUCCUGAUUACUGUAGAGAUUUGAGUUAUUGAUCUUAUAUUGUCUUUUAGGUACUUUAUAGUCUGUGUAUUAGUGUAUCAGUACCGUAUAUACUCGUAUUGAAUCAGUUGGCAUGGUAUUGACAUCAGUACAGGGAGGAUCACGUGAUAGGUCACAUGACUUGAUAUCAACUGCCGUUCCUCGUGUGAACGGGUGGGAGUGUCCCUGGCACCCACUUCAAGUAUUAUCCUGGGGUGUUGUCCUAUUCUUGAGUCUAAUGCAUUAUGGGUUCAUUGUGUUCUAUUUCCCCUCAUACUGGAGGAUAAUGGGCUACACUGUAUCCUUUAUUAAUUAGUGGGCGGGGCUUAACAAUGGGUGGAGCUUCACUAGUAAUAUUAUUACUUUGAAGUAUCAAUGUACUAGUUUUAAGAGCUUGUACUGAUUUUAAUUAAUAAUUAAUUGAAUUAAAAAUUCACUAAAAUUAAUUAUUUAUUAU